GAACGAACGCUGGCGGCAUGCCUAACACAUGCAAGUCGAACGAGACCUUCGGGUCUAGUGGCGCACGGGUGCGUAACGCGUGGGAACCUGCCCUUAGGUUCGGAAUAACUCCCGAAAGGGGUGGUAAAAACGGGUAAAGUCUUCCGGCCAAAGAUUUAUCGCCUUUGGGUGGGGCCGCGUUGGAUUAGCUAGUUGGGAGGGUAAAAGCCUACCAAGGCGACGAUCCAUAGCUGGUCUGAGAGGAUGAUCAGCCACACUGGGACUGAGACACGGCCCAGACUCCUACGGGAGGCAGCAGUGGGGAAUAUUGGACAAUGGGCGAAAGCCUGAUCCAGCAAUGCCGCGUGAGUGAUGAAGGCCUUAGGGUUGUAAAGCUCUUUUACCCGGGAUGAUAAUGACAGUACCGGGAGAAUAAGCUCCGGCUAACUCCGUG
rnacentral:rRNA from 1 species